UGUAAGAAGUGAAAAUUACAACACUUACAUUUUUCUGAGAUAGUUUGCUGCUUAAUGUACAUUCACUUAAGCAGCUCCAACGAAAAGUAGGUUUUCUGUUAGCAAUUGCUGAAGAGACAAAAAUACCAUUCCUGUCUGCCUUCUUUCCUGUUGGUUAGCUAUUGGAUGCCAUGAAAAAUAAAAUAUGUCUCUAUUUCCUGAGCCCACCCAAUAUUUUAAAUAUCUUGACAUCUAUAUUUAUGUUCUGUCAAAAAGGUAAUAAUAUGAAGGAUUUAUUAUAAGUCCUGAGCUUUCUCCUUUGAAUCACAGCAGCGAUUACUAAGGAUCACAGGCACAUGGCAUUGGGUCUGGUCUAUGACACGGUCUUGUUCACCAGAAAUCGCAAGUUGAAAAGUGACACCAUUAGAACUGAUAAAGACAGAAUUAUGAACUCUGCUGGCAUUGUCCCAGCCUACUUCUUGGAGCCUUUAUGAGAGAAGAAGUUUGGCAAUUCAGCUCCCAGUGCCCACAGGGGUGCAAAUGAAGCUGGAGCUGAAGCCAUCUAUGAGAGCAGAUGGGCUGCCAGUCCAAUGACUAUAACUUGGAUAGCUCCACACAAGCUGAGAAGCAGCUUUCGGCCAUGACAGGCAAGGCCCGGUAGGGUAAAUAGUCUGAUUUAAGAUCACUGCCAAAAAAUUUUCUUCGUUAACCUUCACAGUUAUCUAAGCUCUAUGAAGGCAGGGGUUUUUUGUGUUUUGCUUGUAGGACUAUCCUCAGGGCGUACAACAGUGUCUGGGAUAUUGUAGGAGCUCACAAAUAUUUGUGGAAUAAAAGAAUAUUUCUGCAUCUUCAAAAUGUCAAGAUGGGAUAUUAAUAGUACCUGUAUCCAGGACUGAUAUUCAGCUGAUUUCCAUUCUGAUAUAUCAUUUCAAUGUUACAAGAUUGUUGUGAUGAUUGCAUAAAUUAAAACAUGGAAAGCACUUUUAAUAAAACCUGACACAUAUUAAGUGGUCAAUAAAUGUCAGCUCCCAUCAAUUUCAAGGUACAGAGGUUGACACCAAGGAAGAAUGGGGAACAAAGUAGGAUCCCAGCAGGGGCAUUCUGAGUUUAAGAAGCAAUAACUGGUU
rnacentral:lncRNA from 1 species